CUGUCUCUGCGUCUAACUCCGCCUCUGCCCUUUGCGUCGAUUCCGCCUCCUCUCCUCUGCGUCUGCGAACUGCGGCCUCGCCGACGGCAUCCCAGCGUCACGUCGUCUCCGACUCACCGUCCUCCCAAGUCCCAGCCGCCGUCGAAGUGCGAACUGGAACUCUGGAAGACUGACCUCGGCCUCUCUGCGAACUGCGAAGUGCGGCGACCUCGGCUUCUCUGCGAACUGCGGCGACCUCGCCUCUGCGUCUGCGACAUCUUCGGCCACUGCUCGCCGUCGACGAUCGACCCUAACUACUGCUAGUCUGCUCAACGCCUAUUAAUGAUGACUUGAGUGACGACUCAUGGAAGAAGUUAUUGUAGUAAGCAGGCAACUCUCUCCCAAGUCCUCCCUUCUACCAACCAAGGACGCCACUGACGACUUCUCCACACCACCUAAGCACUCCAACAAGAUAAGACUACUCGUUUAUCCCUCAUCCCAAACUUAGUAACCUUUAAGGUUAUUUUCCAUACUUAGUUGUAUCUUAGGACAUUUUAAUCUAUGUUGGUCCCUUUUUUUUUGGAUGUUCUCCAACCAGUGGUUGCCCGCCAUGAACUUUGGAAUGACAUCAAGGUAUUCUAGUCAGAGGUGGAAAACCUACAAGUGGAUUACUCGAAGUUGAACAAACAACAGGAAGGAGACAUGCCCCAACUAGAUCUGGUUGGAGACUACUCGUGACAAUGCAAUCAAGGAGAAAAAGUCUUUAGCUGAGAGCUUGGCUAAGGAAAACUAGGCUUGCAAAGCUACUAAGCACUUUGCCAUAAUUGCCAUAGUUAAUUAUAAGAACUCAUAUUGUUAUGAGGCUAAAGCGCCAAAUUAAAGGUGGCCCGACGUUGAGUACCUGAACUAGCCAAUGAAUUGCUAGCUGACCACUAGGGAAGGUGCCACCUACCUAGUGGAUCGGAGGUUGUUAAAGAGGAUUAUUCUCUUAGCACACAGGGCAUAUAAGUCAAGGUCUACGAAUCCCUCCGAACAAGGGACCUUAUUUUAUCUUCGAGCAGAUAUAGUCUGGAUGAAUAACUUCCCACCUCCACUACCAAUGAGUUGACAGCUACCUCUGAUCUGCUUUGCACCAAUGGGAAAAAGAGAUUGUUAAGGUUCCCUCUUCUUAGCAUGGGUCAAGUGAGCAGCAGAUCCCUAUGGACCAUGACUACUUGAAUUAUGCGGCGAACCUUGAAGUGUCGGAUGGUAUGGUCAAUCCAAACGUAAUAGGCUUGGAGACUAAUCUAAGGGAUGAGUCGUCAUCGCUAUCAAUUGUGGUGGACGAGGAAGACCUAGAAGAUCUUUUUGACAUCGUCACCACUACCUUUUGUUUCCAUUGUUAACCAACUACCUCCAAACCGAUCAAACAAUCCUCUAGACUAAUAAAGGAUCCUACCGAGGAAGACUCACAAAUUGCCGUGAUUAGUGAUUAAUUACACUUAUUUCUAAUACCUUAUUUAUA